AUUGAACGCUGGCGGCAGGCCUAACACAUGCAAGUCGAGCGGAUGAGGGGUGCUUGCACCCCGAUUCAGCGGCGGACGGGUGAGUAAUGCCUAGGAAUCUGCCCGAUAGUGGGGGACAACGUUUCGAAAGGAACGCUAAUACCGCAUACGUCCUACGGGAGAAAGUGGGGGCUCUUCGGACCUCACGCUAUCGGAUGAGCCUAGGUCGGAUUAGCUAGUUGGUGGGGUAAAGGCUCACCAAGGCGACGAUCCGUAACUGGUCUGAGAGGAUGAUCAGUCACUGGAACUGAGACACGGUCCAGACUCCUACGGGAGGCAGCAGUGAGGAAUAUUGGACAAUGGGCGAAAGCCUGAUCCAGCCAUGCCGCGUGUGUGAAGAAGGUCUUCGGAUUGUAAAGCACUUUAAGUUGGGAGGAAGGGCAGUAAGCUAAUACCUUGCUGUUUUGACGUUACCGACAGAAUAAGCACCGGCUAACUCUGUGCCAGCCGCCGCAGUAACAC
rnacentral:rRNA from 1 species